UGGGGAAUAUUGCACAAUGGGCGCAAGCCUGAUGCAGCCAUGCCGCGUGUAUUAAGAAGGCCUUCGGGUUGUAAAGUACUUUCAGCGGGGAGGAAGGGAGUAAAGUUAAUACCUUUGCUCAUUGACGUUACCCGCAGAAGAAGCACCGGCUAACUCCGUGCCAGCAGCCGCGGUAAUACGGAGGGUGCAAGCGUUAAUCGGAAUUACUGGGCGUAAAGCGCACGCAGGCGGUUUGUUAAGUCAGAAGGGAAAUCCUCGGGCUCAACCUGGGAACUGCAUCUGAUACUGGCAAGCUUGAGUCUCGUAGAGGGGGGUAGAAUUCCAGGUGUAGCGGUGAAAUGCGUAGAGAUCUGGAGGAAUACCGGUGGCGAAGGCGGCCCCCUGGACGAAGACUGACGCUCAGGUGCGAAAGCGUGGGGAGCAAACAGG
rnacentral:rRNA from 1 species